rnacentral:rRNA from 1 species
GAUGAACGCUUGCGUCGUGCCUAAUACAUGCAAGUCCAGCGAACAGACGAGGAGCUUUCUCUUCUGACGUUAGCGGCUGACGGGUGAGUAACACGUGGAUUACCUAUCUAUAAUCCUGGAAUAACUUCGGGAAACCGGAGCCAAUACCGUAUCAUAUAUUGUACCGACUGGUUCAAUAGACAAUGACGGUUUUGCUGUUACUUAUAGAUGGAUCCGCGCCGCAUUAGCUAGUUGGUAAGGUAACGGCUUACCAAGGCAACGAUGCGUAGCCGACCUGAGAGGGUGAUCGGCCACACUGGAACUGAGACACGGUCCAGACUCCUGCGGGAGGCAGCAGUAGGGAAUCUUCCGCAAUGGGCGAAAGCGUGACGGAGCAACGCCGCGUGAGUGAUGAAGGUCUUCGGAUCGUAAAACUCUGUUAUUAGGGAAGAACAAAUGUGUAAAAAAAUAUGCACGUCUUGACGGUACCUAAUCAGAAAGCCACGGCUAACUACGUG